ensembl:lncRNA
CUCUGAUCAGCUAUGAAAACGAGGUCAUGUUUGACAAACAGCAUUGUUCUGUGCGAGCAGCAGUCAACGCACUUGGCAGGGAUAAAGCCUUGGAACACGCCAGUGAUUAUUUUUAAUUGGAUGGGCCUCGUGGCUGUAACAAAAAUCAAUGUAUUUCUGAGGCGGCUGCAGAGGCGUUGAUCCGACUUGGCCCUGCCGCUCCCGGGCGGCCAAGGGAUGCUGGCGCCAGGAAACAGGAGGCUCUAGGCCUUGGGCACAGGGGAUGAUGAGCCCCCCCGGCUCCUCCUACUGCUGGGAUGAGUCCACUAUAAGCCAGGGCCAGAAAAGCAUUGGCUGGGGGUGGUGUCUAGGAGGGCAUGGGGUGCCCAAGGGUGCAGAACACAGGUAGGUGUGGGGUGCACGGGGUGAAGGGAGAUGCAUGAAGGGGCUGGGAGGGGCUGACAGUGGAAAAUGCAGAUCCCUGCUGAGAAUCUGCCACUUUACUUGGGGGGGGGUGUCCAGACCCCAUUUAGAGGGUGACACAAAUCCCCUACACAACAGGGCCCAACAGGAGGCAGUGAGACAGGGAGCCUUGUAAUGCUCUUGUUUCUGGCUGGAGUCACCAGCGUGAGAUAUUUAAACUAAAACAGCAGAACGUCAUCUCUGGGACAUUGAUGAAGAAAGCAUGUCUCCUCCCUGCUGGUGGCUGCCCAAGAAUGAUGCAUUCAGGAGAGAGAGAAAAGUAACUGUGUACUCACACUAUCAGAGAAGCCUCCAAUCUGGUUGGAAGGUUUUUCCCAAGGAAGACAAAGGCACGGCGUCCCUCGUCCCUCACUGUGUGGUUGUCUGUAGGCAGAGUGACCCCCCCUUGUCUGCGAGCCUGGAGGGGCCCCAGGGCCUGGUGAGUGCUGGGGAGCUGUACCAGGGCGGACCUGCCAGGCCAGAGGCAGCAAAUGCUAGGUGUGCAGGCUCAUGCCUGUGGCUGGGAAGCGCUCGACCCCUGGAGAGCUCGGCGAGGGAGCAGCAUCAGGGCAGCUGAGGGGUCUUUUGAGGAUUUUUGGAAGUUGCUUCUGGACAGCCUUACCAGAAAGAAAAGGGGGAAGCCCCUGUGGAUCUGGGGUUUUGCUGCAACGCGUGUGAUUUGUGCCAAGUUGAGACUCCACUUUUCCUGAGAAGUCCCUGCUUCCCAGUCAAUAACAUCAAAAAGAAUUUAAAACUCUGUGUGGUAAGACCAAUUACAGCUUCUAAUCUUUGUCCUGGGUGAGUGUUUAACCCCCUCCCCACCACACACACAUCUGAGGAAGAAAUCUCAGAACUCAGACAGCCCCUAAAUCCACCUGAGCCUGGUUCUCUGGAAAACACCCUUGACAUCUACAUUAUGAGCCCGAGGAAGCUUUGCUUGUAGGCUGGGUUGCAUUUCCUACAAAGCCUCUGGUUUUCACAGCCACGUAAGCUAUUUCUCUCUCAAGGCAUUGCUUUUGUGUAGAAAUUUAUCAUGUUUUUCCCCCUCAGUCCAGAAGUGAAUUUUUUUUUUUUAAAUUGGAGAAAAUCCCUUAAGCUGUUUCGGACUUAUUCAAGCAUGCAAAAAGGGUAUUUUCCAUGCGUAGUUCAGAUGCUUAGUAUGUUCUUGGAUAGCCCAAAUAAUUUGAAUUUAAAACUUUGAAUUGGACCUCUUUAUGUCACAUCUUAAAAAGGUGCCAUUUAUGAAGAAAAAUAUGGUCAUGAAAUAAAGGAUAUGAGGAGUAAGUGAUCCUGCUGGCU